rnacentral:lncRNA from 1 species
UUUGAUUGUAGCCCGCAGGGUGGCCUCCUGUUGUGAGCACUUGAUGAUCUAGAUUGGAUGGAGACCACCGGGUUGCCUCCUGUUGGUAUGGAAAAGAAAACAGAGAAUGGAAAAAUAAUGAGAGGACUGGUCAGUGAGGAUUAGACCAGUUGGCCGUAUGGGGGAUCGGCUCCCUGGUGCACAUGUACGAGAGGGCGAGCCAUGUGUGAGGACGGCUCGUUGGGGUUUCAGGUGGUGCCACUGACUAAUUACCACUUGCUUGAUUACUUGAAGGUGACAUUACGUGUGAGUGCUGGUAUGUGCCAUUUGUGUGACUGGCUGCGUGAGCAUAUAACUAGUCGAAUGACUAGAUUGAAAUGUUUACAUAUUUGUGUGACUGCGUGUGUUGUGCAAUAAUUAUUACUCCUUAGAAAAC